rnacentral:rRNA from 1 species
AGUGAACGCUGGCGGCAGGCCUAACACAUGCAAGUCGAACGGCAGCACAGUAAGAGCUUGCUCUUACGGGUGGCGAGUGGCGGACGGGUGAGGAAUACAUCGGACUCUACUUUUUCGUGGGGGAUAAAGUAGGGAAACUUACGCUAAUACCGCAUACGACCUACGGGUGAAAGCAGGGGAUCUUCGGACCUUGCGCGAGUGAAUGCGCCGAUGUCGGAUUAGCUAGUUGGCGGGGUAAAGGCCCACCAAGGCGACGAUCCGUAGCUGGUCUGAGAGGAUGAUCAGCCACACUGGAACUGAGACACGGUCCAGACUCCUACGGGAGGCAGCAGUGGGGAAUAUUGGACAAUGGGCGCAAGCCUGAUCCAGCCAUACCGCGUGGGUGAAGAAGGCCUUCGGGUUGUAAAGCCCUUUUGUUGGGAAAGAAAAGCAGCAGGUUAAUACCCUGCUGUUUUGACGGUACCCAAAGAAUAAGCACCGGCUAACUUCGUG